rnacentral:rRNA from 1 species
GAUGAACGCUGACAGAAUGCUUAACACAUGCAAGUCGACUCGAGUCUUCGGACUUGGGUGGCGCACGGGUGAGUAACGCGUAAAGAACUUGCCUCUUAGACCGGGACAACAUCUGGAAACGGAUGCUAAUACCGGAUAUUAUGGUUUUUUCGCAUGGAGGAAUCAUGAAAGCUAGAUGCGCUAAGAGAGAGCUUUGCGUCCCAUUAGCUAGUUGGUGAGGUAACGGCCCACCAAGGCAAUGAUGGGUAGCCGGCCUGAGAGGGUGAACGGCCACAAGGGGACUGAGACACGGCCCUUACUCCUACGGGAGGCAGCAGUGGGGAAUAUUGGACAAUGGACCACAAGUCUGAUCCAGCAAUUCUGUGUGCACGAUGACGUUUUUCGGAAUGUAAAGUGCUUUCAGUCGGGAAGAAGUCAGUGACGGUACCGACUGAAGAAGCGACGGCUAAAUACGUGCCAGCAGCCGCGGUAAUACGUAUGUCGCAAGCGUUAUCCGGAUUUAUUGGGCGUAAAGCGCGUCUAGGCGGCAAGGAAAGUCUGAUGUGAAAAUGCGGAGCUCAACUCCGUAUGGCGUUGGAAACUGCCUUACUAGAGUACUGGAGAGGUAGGCGGAACUACAAGUGUAGAGGUGAUUUCUUUGAUAUUUGUAGGAAUGCCGAUGGGGAAGUCAGCCUACUGGACAGAUACUGACGCUGAUGCGCUAUAGCGUGUGUAGCAUACAGGUUAGAUACCCUGGUAGUCCAAGGGUGAAUUCCACAUUUGAUAUGAGCUUAUCGAUCCCGUCACCUCGAUGGGGGGAUCAGAGCACUCAGCUUUUGUUCCCUGUGUUGAUGUGUUGAUUAAAUGCUGACUCAUAUGCUGGUGUCUGACCUGUGCCUCCGUGGAGAUCCCCUGUGUAGCUCUUGUGUGCUUUUAGAUGUGUUCUCCUAGCAUUCUGUUUUUCACCUGUGCUCCCACUAUUUGUCUUGUGUUGUACUCUGUUUACUGCAUCCCUAUAUAUUCUCUCUGCUGUGUGUCC